rnacentral:rRNA from 1 species
AUACGAAGGGGGCUAGCGUUGUUCGGAAUUACUGGGCGUAAAGCGCGCGUAGGCGGACUGAUCAGUUGGGGGUGAAAUCCCAGGGCUUAACCCUGGAACUGCCGCCAAUACUGUCAGUCUUGAGUUCGGGAGAGGUGAGUGGAAUUCCUAGUGUAGAGGUGAAAUUCGUAGAUAUUAGGAAGAACACCAGUGGCGAAGGCGGCUCACUGGCCCGAUACUGACGCUGAGGCGCGAAAGCGUGGGGAGCAAACAGGAUUAGAAACCCUAGUAGUCC